rnacentral:piRNA from 1 species
UCCCAAUGUCCCUUGUGUGAGCCUCAAGC